rnacentral:rRNA from 1 species
GUCCGCACAGUAAACGAUGAAUGCUAAUUGUUCGGAGGGAAUGACCUCUGAGUGAUACAGUGAAAACGUUAAGCAUUCCACCUGGGGAGUACGCCGGCAACGGUGAAACUCAAAGGAAUUGACGGGGGCCCGCACAAGCGGAGGAACAUGUGGUUUAAUUCGAUGAUACGCGAGGAACCUUACCCGGGCUCAAACGACACAGGAAUUACUUUGAAAGGAGGUAAGCCAGCAAUGGUCUGUGUCGAGGUGCUGCAUGGUUGUCGU